rnacentral:rRNA from 1 species
UGCGUGGAAGGGCCAUCGCUCAACGGAUAAAAGCUACCCUGGGGAUAACAGGCUUAUCUCCCCCAAGAGUCCACAUCGACGGGGAGGUUUGGCACCUCGAUGUCGGCUCAUCACAUCCUGGGGCUGUAGUAGGUCCCAAGGGUUGGGCUGUUCGCCCAUUAAAGGGGUACGCGAGCUGGGUUCAGAACGUCGUGAGACAGUUCGGUCCCUAUCCGUCGCAGGCGUAGGAAAUUUGAGAAGACCUGUCCUUAGUACGAGAGGACCGGGAUGGACGUACCUCUGGUGUACCAGUUGUCCUGCCAAGGGCAUGGCUGGGUAGCUAUGUACGGAAUGGAUAAGCGCUGAAAGCAUCUAAGCGCGAAGCCAACUUCAAGAUAAGAUUUCCCACCGCAAGGGUAAGACCCCAGAAAGACUAUCUGGUUGAUAGGUCGAAGGUGUAAGUGCAGCAAUGUAUUUAGCUUAUCGAUACUAAUAGGUCGAGGACUUGACCAAU